AGCUUAUGAUGAUGGUAUAAACCUUAAAAUUUCCUUAAAUCCCUCUCAUGUUUCAUAAAGAGAUUUACAUUCCUCCUGAGUAAAACUUGUAAUCUUAUUUUUUAAAUG